AUUGAACGCUGGCGGCAGGCCUAACACAUGCAAGUCGAGCGGAUGAAGGGAGCUUGCUCCUGGAUUCAGCGGCGGACGGGUGAGUAAUGCCUAGGAAUCUGCCUGGUAGUGGGGGAUAACGUCCGGAAACGGGCGCUAAUACCGCAUACGUCCUGAGGGAGAAAGUGGGGGAUCUUCGGACCUCACGCUAUCAGAUGAGCCUAGGUCGGAUUAGCUAGUUGGUGGGGUAAAGGCCUACCAAGGCGACGAUCCGUAACUGAUCUGAGAGGAUGAUCAGUCACACUGGAACUGAGACACGGUCCAGACUCCUACGGGAGGCAGCAGUGGGGAAUCUUGGACAAUGGGCGAAAGCCUGAUCCAGCCAUGCCGCGUGUGUGAAGAAGGUCUUCGGAUUGUAAAGCACUUUAAGUUGGGAGGAAGGGCUGUAAGUUAAUACCUUGCUGUUUUGACGUUACCAACAGAAUAAGCACCGGCUAACUUCGUG
rnacentral:rRNA from 1 species